rnacentral:rRNA from 1 species
UCCUCGACCGACUCGGUGAAAUAGUAGUGGCGGUGUAGAUGCCGCCUCCUCGCAGCAAGACGGAAAGACCCCGUGAACCUUCACUAUAGGCUUCUAUUGGUCGUGUGCAUGGAUUGCGUAGGAUAGGUGGGAGGCUUUGACCCGGACCUUUUGGGGUUCGGCGAGCCGUCGGUGAAAUACCACCCUGUUCACGUGUACGGCCUAACCCUGAUUCCCGUGAAGCCGGGCAGGGGACAGUGGGUGCCGGGUAGUUUGACUGGGGCGGUCUCCUCCCAAAGCGUAACGGAGGAGCACGAAGGUUGGCUAAUCAUGGUCGGACAUCAUGAGGUUAGUGCAAUGGCAUAAGCCAGCUUAACUGCGAGACAGACACGU